AGGGUGUUUCAUUUAGGCAAGGUACUUUAUACGAUAUAAUAUUGUGUGUAUUUAAAUUUUACGGUUGGCGGGCUGGACAUGAGUCCUUCUGUGGUCCUUCAAUAUAGAGAUGACAAGUGUUACAGGUGUAGGGGGCCGGUAGAUUUUUAAUUAUUAUCUUAUGUAAUUCAGUACGCACUUGCGCAAUGUUCUUUCAUGGUGAUUUUAAAAAAAUGUAAAGAAUAUAUUAUGCCAAUGUUUUGCCAAGUAGGUGUCCGCUAUUGCUUCCGUGAUAACCAAUACCUACUUGGCAAAACAUUACCUAGAGAUUACAAACUAUACCCGGAACCAAUUUUAUUUAAAACGAUCAAGCGUGUCAGCUUUCAAACGGGAACAAAAAGUAAUCUAAGCAUAUAUUAUUUAUAAAAAUUGGACCCCUUGAUGGUACAGAACAAUCGAGGCACUUGUUAUAGUAAUACUUUACCCGGUAAUCCGAUUGUGAAGUGUGAUAUUGAUCAGAUAAGGUAUAUUAGUGUGAUCCUAAUACAACCUUGAAAGCUAAACUCGUUUAUGUAAACAACAAUUUCAGAUUGAGUUAUUUUUAUUAGAAUUUUUAUAUUUUGCUCCCUUUACAAAUAUGACUAAACGGUUAUUGAUAAAAAUUAUUCAUCGAUAGUGGUAUUUGAGUUAAGAUAAGGGAUUAUCUUUUGCCUAAUCGGAUAUUGGAUGUCCUGUGGGUUUUAACCUGACUAUCAACUUGACAGUAAAAGUUAACAGCGGAAGUAUUAUGCUGUGUCGACGACGGAUGUGUACAUUACAAUGAUUCGAAGGAAGCCAAUAUACAUAAUCUAUUAAUGGAAGAUUUGCGAGGAGCGACACUGCGAACAAACUGAGAUAUUCAAGAAAGAUUGAGGAGGAAUAAAGAUUUCUUUAACUAGUGAA